UACGUAGGUGGCAAGCGUUGUCCGGAAUUACUGGGUGUAAAGGGAGCGCAGGCGGGAAGCCAAGUCAGCUGUGAAAACUACGGGCUUAACUUGUAGACUGCAGUUGAGACUGGUUUUCUUGAGUGAAGUAGAGGUUGGCGGAAUUCCUAGUGUAGCGGUGAAAUGCGUAGAUAUUAGGAGGAACACCAGUGGCGAAGGCGGCCUGCUGGACGACAACUGAUGGUGAGGCGCGAAAGCGUGGGGAGCAAACAGG
rnacentral:rRNA from 1 species